rnacentral:rRNA from 1 species
AGAAUCAACGCUGGCGGCGUGCCUAACACAUGCAAGUCGAACGAGAAAGUGGAGCAAUCCAUGAGUAAAGUGGCGACCGGGUGAGUAACACGUGACUAACCUACCUUUGAGUGGGGGAUAACAUCGGGAAACCGAUGCUAAUACCGCAUAACAUCGCAAGAUCAAAGCAGCAAUGCGCUUAAAGAGGGGGUCGCGGCUGAUUAGCUAGUUGGCGGGUAACGGCCCACCAAGGCGAAGAUCGGUA